rnacentral:rRNA from 1 species
UACGUAGGGAGCAAGCGUUGUCCGGAAUCAUUGGGCGUAAAGCGCGCGUAGGCGGCCCUGUAAGUCCGUUGUGAAAGUCAAAGGCUCAACCUUUGAAAGCCGAUGGAUACUGCAGGGCUAGAGUCCGGAAGAGGCGAGUGGAAUUCCUGGUGUAGCGGUGGAAUGCGCAGAUAUCAGGAGGAACACCAAUAGCGAAGGCAGCUCGCUGGGACGGUACUGACGCUAAGGC